CGCCUGUUUUWCAAAAACAUCUUUUCUUGUUAGUUUCUGAAGUAUGGCCUGCCCACUGACUUUAGGUUGAAGGGCCGCGGUAUUUUGACCGUGCAAAGGUAGCAUAAUCAUUAGUUCUUUAAUUGUGAUCUGGUAUGAAUGGCUUGACGAGGCAUAUGCUGUCUUAUAUUUAUGAAUUUUUUAUUGAAUUUGGUUUUUGAGUUAAAAUUCUUAAAUGUUUUUAUGGGACGAGAAGACCCUAUAGAGUUUUACAUUCGGCGUGUAGCUUGUUUAUUUGUUUGUUAUUUUUUUGCUUUGUUCUGUAUGUUUUGUUGGGGUGAUGGGAAGAAUUUUAUUAACUCUUCUUUGUUUUGAUGAUAUAUUUAUUUAUAUUUUUUUGAUCCAUUUAUUUUGAUUAUAAGAUUAAAUUACCUUAGGGAUAACAGCGUUAUCCUCCUUGAGAGUUCUUAUUGGCGGGAGGGUUUGCGACCUCGAUGUUGGAUUAAGGUUAAUUUUUGGUGUAGAAGCUGAAUUGAUUGGGUCUGUUCGACCUUUAAAUCCUUACGUGAUCUGAGUU
rnacentral:rRNA from 1 species